ACCAGUGUGGUAUAGUGGUUUGGACUAUGUGUUGGACUAUGACUCCGGAGAACAGGGUUCAAAUCCCUGCUCAGGCA